rnacentral:lncRNA from 1 species
GUUGCUGGGAUAUGAGAAGCCGAGGAAAGCGUGUUCCCAAAGCUAUUUGUGACCACCCCUUCUUUCCUCUUCUCCCUAACAAGGAAACCCUGCCUGUGACGAGCUGUACAAGGCCUGGCUCAGCGGCUGGCGGGACAGCAACUGGAGACUUAGGAAGAAAAACAACUUCUAAACGUGGUGUUCGUGCAAGAAAGUAUCAGUUUUAUCAAUUGUACCUCAGUAAAGCUGAAAAAAAUAAAAUGAUCACAUCUGCAAAGUCCAUUUUACAGCGCAAGAAAGCGGAAAAUCUCUGAUCCACGCCAUCUGUUUGUCUCAUCCAGUGCUGCAUUCCAAUCUCUGCAACAGAAGAUUCAUGACAACCUGCCAAUAAAAUUCCUGAGAUUGUCAAAACACAGAAUACUUGUGAAAAAGUUUAAGAUAAGAUUCUUUCAUGUUUAAAUUCCUCAUACACACCCUUUCUCUCAGAGCACAGCUGGCUUCAGUACCAGAUUUCAGUCUAUUUCAAGGUUUACCUCACAUUUGGGAAGAUGCAAAUGAAAGAGUUUACAUCAAAGAGCAUGGAACUCAUAUCAUCCUUUCUAACAAUGAUGUCAUAUGAAUUGUGCGCCAGCCAUCUAGACAAUGCUAGAGGAACAACAGUGUACAGAAAAGUGCAAGGUAUUUUCAACCUGCAAACGAUCUCUUUUCCUGUAAACAGAGGGUCCUGGCUCUGUCUUAGAGGAGUAGAAUCAUAUUCAGCAGAUCCUGCAUAUUCCUGGAAGGGGCUUUCUGACCACAUGAUCUUCAGGGUGACACAUGGACAAGAAACAGAUCUUCUUCUUGUAAAUAUUACUGCCUUGUAGCACAACUUGGAACUGUUAUUUUAUUUUGCUAAUAAGUUUAUAUUCCGCCUUACCAAAUGACGAGGCAUUACAGUGGAGAAGAAAGCCACGUCUUACCAUAUAGUUACAUGUAUAAUUAGCUCACAUGCAAAUUAAUUGAACAAUUACGUUGUAUAUGCAACUACAAAUGCAUUUAGUACGUAUUUUGGUUAUUGUUUUCCUUUCUAGUGUGCCUUCAGUAAAGAUUGUCAAUAUGCCUUAAGCCACAAGCCAUGUGAGGUCAGAG